rnacentral:rRNA from 1 species
AACGCUGGCGGCAGGCUUAACACAUGCAAGUUGAACGGGACUUGAUGUAGCUUGCUACAUCAGAUGAGAGUAGCGCACUGGUGAGUAACACGUGGGAACAUACCUUUUGUGGGGGACAACAGUUGGAAACGACUGCUAAUACCGCAUAAGCCCUGAGGGGGAAAGAUUUAUUGCCGAAAGAUUGGCCCGCGGAAGAUUAGGUAGUAGGUGGGGCAAUGGCCUACCUAGCCGACGAUCUAUAGCUGGUCUGAGAGGACGAUCAGCCACAUUGGAACUGAGACACGGUCCAGACUCCUACGGGAGGCAGCAGUGAGGAAUAUUGGGCAAUGGAGGCAACUCUGACCCAGCCAUGCCGCGUGAGUGAAGAAGGUUUUCGGAUUGUAAAGCUCUUUCAGAUGAGAAGAUAAUGACGGUAUCAUCAGAAGAAGCACCGGCUAACUUCGUGCCAGCCGCGGC